rnacentral:tmRNA from 1 species
UGGCUGGCGAACCAGGCAGCGUGCUGCUGCGCGGCCUGGGGCGUGAGACUCAAAUCAGCCAGCUAAACAUGUAGAUCUACCUGGCGAAGGCUUGCGGACGGGGGUUCAAUUCCCCCCGGCUCCACCA